rnacentral:misc_RNA from 1 species
UCUCCGUUGGUGAACCAGCGGAGGGAUCAUUACCGAGUUUACAACUCCCAAACCCCUAUGUGAACGUUACCAAACUGUUGCCUCGGCGGGAAAUUCAUGCCCCGGGCGCGUCGCAGCCCCGGACCAAGGCGCCCGCCGGAGGACCUACCAAAACUCUUUUGUAUGUCCCUCGCGGACUUUUAUAAUUCUGAACCAUCUCGGCGCCCCUAGCGGGCGUUUCGAAAAUGAAUCAAAACUUUCAACAACGGAUCUCUUGGUUCUG